UUUUCUCACUGGAAAUUCACCCUGAUUAAUGAAUUGCCAGGCAUGGCAGAAAUAAAGGGAAGAAUGAUAUAAUAUCUCAUUGUUACCCCCAUUUUCCAGAUGAGGAAACUGAGGUACAGAGAGGUUAAAUCUCUUCAUCAAGUUAUCAAAAGCCACAACAUGGUAGAGUCAGUCUUUUAUCUCAGGUCUGUUUGACUCCACAGCCCUGACAUUUUCCAUUCCAUGAGCUAGGCUGGCAGAGAGGGCACUUGGGUGCCAUUGUAGGAAAGGUUGGAUGUGUGAGCCCUGGUCAGGAGGAGCAAACUCCAGCCAUGAUGUCAGAUGGAGCCUCCUUCAAGAACAAAGUCGUGAGAUACUUGCUGGGCAAUGACAUGCUUUUGGUCAAGCCUCUUCUUCCAGGCCGAGUCUGCAAGCACCUGCGUGGCUGGGAAUCUUGGUCUUUCUGAUUCAUAUAUGGGAGUUGCAUUUUAUUUUUCUAUUUUUGGAAAAUAAAAAGAAAAUGUAAGGGAAGAAAAAGCCAAGUCCCAGUUGCCAAGUCUGUUAACGACACACAUAAUGGCGUGUUAACACAAAUGAUUAUCGAGCUGGACAGCACCCAGCUUUCUGCCAAAACAAACCUUCCUGCUCAGCAGACCUGGGAAUGCUUCAGCCAGGACGGGAUGGAGUGAGGAGGGUGGACUGCAGUCUUCCCUGGUCUGGAAGCAAUUAAAUGCCCUAGCUAUUGGCAUUGCUGAAUUCCCCAUGGGCUCCAGUGGGGAGGACUGGGCCCCAGGUCUCCUGUAUUCUCCACAAGACCUCAGGCAAAUCUCCACCUGUUUCUGAAUGUGUGUCUCCUCAGGUGGGUUGGAUCAGAUGAUCUCUAAGGUCCAUCGGUUUUAACUGGCUAUGUUUCUGGGAGGCUUUUGAGGAGCCAGUGGAAUAACCAGGUGUUGGACUCCUCAUGCAUGUAAGAAGGAGGGUUUUUUCUUCAGAGCAGAGCCGGUUGGUAACACCUUUGUGUGAGGGGGCCAGGCAAGGAGCUCUGUGGCCUGUGCACCCCCAGAUUGUGCUACCAGCUGAGACCUUGGGUAUUACCUAAGCCUCUGUUUUCUCACCUGUAAAAUGGUAAAUGGCUUCCCUUAAAGGGAAGUUAUGAGGACUAAAUAAAAUACAAGAUGUAAGGUUCUUAGCAUAGUGCCUGGCACAUAGGAAGUGAUGAAUACGUGUUAGCCUCUUUCCGUCCCUUCUUUUUCAUAUCCCUUCUUUCUUUCUUCACUUCCUCUCAUCUUUCCUUUCCUCCUUUUAUUCUUUCUUCACUUUUUUCUUUCUUUUUUCCUAACCUUUAUCUUUUCCCUGCUUUCUUCUCCUCCCUUCCAGAAAAAAAAUCUGUCUUGUAUUAUGUGCUAUGAAUCAAUUUAUCUGCUUAUUGCAGAUUACUUGACUGCAGGGACCAUGUGUUAGUCAUUGUUUUAUCCUGUCUCUCUACAUGCACAGAGUAGGUGCUCAAUAAAUGCUUGGGGAAUCAAUGAUUGACUCAAUAAAUGCUUGGGGAAUA
rnacentral:lncRNA from 10 species